rnacentral:lncRNA from 1 species
UGCUGCAGCCUGGAGGAGGGAGGGGAAUGGCUCUGCUCAGCGUUCUCUCAGCCUGCUCCUCACCACCUGUCCUUGACUUACUGUGUACAGACAGGACACAGAGGAAGCUGUGCUGCUGGAGGCUUUGUGUCUGUGUGUGUUUCAUAAAGAAUUCUUCUCCCAGUGGCUAUCCAUCUUCUACCUGUGGUGCUACAGUGGAGUGCAACUGAAAGGAAGGAACGACCACCCUUGGCUGCUUGGGCUCAGAUGGGAGGCAGCGCUGACUCUGGCUGGGACUGGGGAUGCUGAACGGAGGCAGGGAAGGCCUGUUUGAGCUGGGACAGCAGCUCCAGCAGCAGGGAGAGUACCAGGCCGCCCUGCACUGCUUCCUCAGCUGCCUACUGGGACUCACUCAUGUCCAAAGCUUCACCUCUCUGCCCAAUUGCUUACACCAGAUUGCAGAACUCUUCAUCACUGAAAAGAAUUAUGGAAAAGCUCUCCAGUUCAUCCAGGCUGAAAAAAUGUUCUAUGAGGUGGCAUUGAUUGAACUCACGGCUCUCCAGGGGAGAACAGGGCCCCAGGAGGAGGCUUCCCUGGGCUGUGGAGGAUGGAACACUGCAGAGGAGCUUUCAGAGCAGGCCUGCCAGGCACAGCACCUGGAACGGUUGGCUCAGCUCUGCAUCAUGAGCAAACAACCUCAUCUUGCUCUAGAAUACAGCGGUAAGGCAACAAAGAUUCACCAGAGGGCCUUUGGUAAUGACCAUCCGAUCACAGCCAGAAGCAUGGAGCUCAUGGCCACAGUCUAUGCUGAGAUUGGCAAGACUGAGUACUCAGACUCUCUUGGUCAGUGCGUGUCCGUGCUGUCCAAACGCAUCGUCGGUGCAGAGUCAAUUCGAGACACUGUCAACUGCUUUCCUCAUUCCCACUGGGAAAAACAAGAGGUUCGCCACAGAAAGGAUUCAAAGAACCAACCAGUGGACACACUUGUCUCCAAGGUAAGCAAUGGAAAAGUCCCCAUCUCCAUUCUAAAGAGGUCAAAUCCAAGCUUUGGUUCAGACGCAGAGCCUAACCACAGACGGAAAGGAGAGAGGAGGGUACGAUUCAGAGAACCGGAGACCACAGUACAUGCCUAUGAGACAACGCCCUCCCGCCCUCACCUCGCACUCUUCACCUGCCUCUUCUUGCUGAUGUCAUUCCUGGGCGUGGCCUUGUACUGCACAGACCGCAGACGCCCACAGCGAGUGUGUGAGGAGAUGGAGGCGGUCCUGGCUGUCUACCUGCUGCAUAUGAAACAGCUUCUGUGGGGCUGCUGGAUAUGGCUAACUAUGCAGUGACUGACCGACCACAAGGGGAGACAUGGAACAUCCCUGAUGUCUGUUAUUCCUCCUUGUCCUUAUAUUAAAGGUGACCAGGCCUUCAAACGCCUUAACCCUUUGGCAAGGCUUUGUGCGCUGUCUGUGGUGUCAAACCACACUCACAUCAUCAAAGGGAAGAAGUGCAAUCCCAGAAGUAUGUAGCUUCCAUGUUUGUAUGUAAAUACUGACUGAGGUGGUGGGCACACCAAUAAGAUAUUUAAGUUAAAAAAAAAAAAAAAAAGACUCUUUGCACAUGUGUGAUGUCGACGCUCACUUUAACGCUCAUGUAACCUCCACAUGUGACCUUUCACCUUUCACGUCAUGACACUCAGUUAGCUUUUUUGUGAAUGUUCCCAUGGAAUGCAAAUGGAUGUGUAUAUACUGUAAGUUUCAGAAUAUGAGGGACUAUCAUAGUAUUUAGCCUUUGACUUGCACAUAAAUUAAAGCAAAGAUGUGACACGCUUAGAUUGGAACCGUGCACGUUUGAAAUGAGUGGGAAGGUAAAAGCAUAGACUAUUGAGUAAUGACCCAUUAGAUUAAACACAUCAAAGCAGUGAGGGGAAUUUUAUUAGAGGACAGAAAAAAAAACAUCCUCAUUUUCAUGUUUUUUCUCACUGUUGCACAAAAUUGUCUCUCAUCAAAAAGAAAAUACUCGGCUCUUUAUAACUUAUUAUUAAAUACUGUCUAAUUAAUACAGUAUAUCUGUACAUGUGUAAAAUUACAUUUUUUUUGGAUUUAUCUUUUUUUUUCUUCAAAGCAUUAGGUUUUUAUUUUAUACUUAUGACUCUGUCAAUAUUUGUUUUGAAGAUGUAUAAAUGGGUUUAAAUCGAACAUUUUUUCUAGAGGAAAUCUAAUUUGUAACUUUUUUCAUGCCAAACAUCAAAAAGUAGCCAAGGAGUCUGACAUUGUCUGAUCUCCAACUAAACCAACCCUUUUAAAACCAUAAGAAUCUAUUUCCCCGACAUAGCACUUGUUACAAGCAAUAACGCAUCACAUGGUUUCCAUUUAAACAUUGUCCUUAUAUAUAUAUAUCAGGUUUCAGGGAGCUCGGAAUGAAGAGCAUUGGAUUUGGAAGCAGUGACGAUGAUGACAGGAGGAAAGUGAGUCCCAACCCUGUACUGUCCAACGAACCCUCACCAGCAAUAAAACCAUGAACUCAAUGAACUCCUGUAGCA